ensembl:lncRNA
GGGGUCUCCAAGGAGAACAGGGGGUUGAAAGAGGGGGUCUCCAGGGAGAACAGGGGGUUGAAAGGAAGUGCGUCUUAGUCACCAGAUCUCAACCCAAUUGAACACUUCCGGGAGAUUCUGGAGUGGCCUCUUGAGACAGCGUUUUCCACCACCAUCAACAAAACACCAAAUGGUGGAAUUUCCCGUGGAAGAAUGGUGUCGCAUCCCUCCAGUAGAGUUCCAGACACGUCUUGAAUCUAUACCAAGGAGCACUUUUAACAUUUUUUUUAAACCUUUAUUUAACUAGGCAAGUCAGUUAAGAACAAAUUCUUAUUUUCAAUGACAGCCUACCAGGGAACAGUGGCUUAACUGCCUUGUUCAGGGGCAGAAUUUGUACCUUGUCAGCUCAGGGAUUAGAACUUGCAACCUUCCAGUUACUAGUCCAACGCUCUAACCACUAGGCUACCCUGCCGCCCCUACACUCUAACCACUAGGCUACCCUGCCGCCCCUACACUCUAACCACUAGGCUACCCUGCCACCCCUACACCCUAACCACUAGGCUACCCUGCCGCCCCUACACUCUAACCACUAGGCUACCCUGCCGCCCCUACACUCUAACCACUAGGCUACCCUGCCGCCCCUACACUCUAACCACUAGGCUACCUGCCGCCCUUACACUCUAACCACUAGGCUACCUGCCGCCCUUACACUCUAACCACUAGGCUACCUGCCGCCCCUACACUCUAACCACUAGGCUACCCUGCCGCCCCUACACUCUAACCACUAGGCUACCUGCCGCCCCUACACUCUAACCACUAGGCUACCUGCCGC